GAAAUGCGAUAAGUAAUGCGAAUUGCAGAAUUUCCGUGAGUCAUCGAAUCUUUGAACGCACAUUGCGCCCAUUGGUAUUCCGAUGGGCAUGCCUGUUCGAGCGUCAUUUCAACCCUCGAGCUCCCCUUUCGGGGGGAGCCCGGCGUUGGGGACCCGGCGCUAACAACGCCGGCCCCGAAAUGGAGUGGCGGCCCGUCCGCGGCGACCUCUGCGUAGUAACAACCACUCGCACCUGGACCCGGGCGCGGCCACGCCGUAAAACACCCCACCUUCCGAAUGUUGACCUCGAAUCAGGUAGGAAUACCCGCUGAACUUAAGC
rnacentral:misc_RNA from 1 species